UUGAACUUGUUAACUGCCUUCCUUCCUCUUGAAUGCCCCAUCUUUCUCCCACAGAUGGGCUAAGCUAAGCCCUCUGCUGACCUGAGCCUUCCUCUCUGGCUUCCUCCCCAGUCUUGUCAAAGCUCAGAGAGAGUUCUGUGACAACAAGAAGGCAAGAUGGAUGUUGGUUCCCUUAGGAAGACUCGAAAAGUCACAAGGGGUCACAAAAGAGCAAAAGGCAGGAUUUCAUUCGUCCAUCUGGCCAGGAGAUGAGGCCUAACAGCCUUUUGCAGGCCUUCAUUAAUUUGGGUUCCUACACGGCUGCAUGGAGGAGAGCUGCUCUGACAUCCAAGGAACAAGAAAUGAACAAUUGGGGGCAUCUGGCUGGCUCAGUUGGGAUAUUUGUCUCCUUACAGUUCACUUUUCAGCUCUGGAAACUGAAUGGCACAGGUCUGGCUUGAUAACUGAGGACCAUCUUCAGUGGUCUACAUUCCAAGGUCAAGAGAGUCCAAAUCUGGUAAAAGGGCUGCAGGAUGGAUACCUCCACCCCAAGCUUCAGUGAUGAAAUGAAGUCAUUGUGCUAGAGGGCUCCCAUCCUGGUCACCUCAUUUUCUACACUCUCAAUAUGGCUCCCUGAACACAGUCUGGGGCCAAGAGAUCAACGAUGACAAAAAGAAAUGAUCAAUAAGAAAAGGCGGCUCUCGGCGACCUGGGACUAAGCCUCCGAGGGGCGGUGGGGAGGACCUCGGCCCGAUCCUCGCUCUCCGGCCGCCAGCGCCCCCUCCCGGCAGGCGGGCGCACAGCAGCGGCGCACAGGCCGACGCUGCCCUUCCCGGGACUUCAGGUCUUUCUCUCCGCUCCCCACGCGGCCGCUCCCGCCGCCGGCGCCCCCUCGGCACGCGCCGCCUCGUCCAGUCUUACAGGCCUGUCGCGGCUCGGCCAUCCCGGCCCACGCAGCCCGCGCACUCGCAUGCCCAGCACCCCUUUCCCCCUGAAAAGUUUCUGGACGGUGGGGACUAUUUUCUUCUACUGUAACCUUCCACCAAACUGGAGGGAAAAGUUAACCCGAGGCCCGGGAAGGGCCGCGCGGCAGGGGGCCCCCGAGGGAGCACGGCCUUGGGAGAGAUGUCCCUUGUGCCUGGCAAGGAAUAGUUGUGCUCCCAAACCAGAGUUGUGUGUUGGGUUAGGUGUAAAAGGUGAGCGGUGGUGCUACAUAUUUAAGAUGGAGAUUUAAAACAAUUAAUAUAGAUUGCACCAGACAAAUGGUUCUUGUCUUCAGACCUUGCAGUUCCUUGCAUAGAUUCUCAUGUCUGUCUUACACGGAAGCAAGGUCCCCCUGGGAACGACCUCUUAACUCCUAGAGACAAAAGGCAAGCCUUGAGACCGUUCCUUGGGGCAGUCUGCUGAAUUCUACUGCAUUCUGGAGAGUAAACAACCUAUAGAAAUAUUUAGUGAUUAGGAAAAUCCACUAGACCUGUAUUUUUCAAACUGCGAGUGGCAAAAUCAGUUCGACGAGAAUAUUAGGGAAGGAGAGACUAGGCGAGUAGGGGAGGGAGGGAAGAAAGGAAAGAACCCAGAAUAAAAGAAUAGAAAAGUAUCACAUAGUAAGGAACAAUAUGCUUUCAUGAAACCUGUGUUGUAAGAGAAUACUGUGUGUGUUUGCAUGUACCAGGCCGAAAUGUAGAAUAAUUUCUUAGUGGCUUGGUGUCAAAAAAUGUUUGAAAACCUCUGCACUAGACAGUCUGAUUUAUGCCUCUAUACUUAUCUCAUUUUAAAGAACGCAGCCUUUAAUUAUCUCUCUUGCUUAUCUUCACAUCUCAGCAUCUGCUAUUAUUUGUGAAUAAUUUAUCUUCUUAAAGCUAUUAUUUCAGUAAAGAAAGCUAUAACUUAAAAUAUGAAAGCAGUUCUGUCAAGCUCCCCUUUCUCUACGGCCCCUCUUCUACUCUGUAACCUGGGCUUAUGGCUACAUUCCAAAUGUGUCUGAAGACCCUGUCUCCAGUGCAGUCGCAAGAAGCCUGGGUUGCUGGGAUAUUAUGUAAUCAAAUACUCCCCAUAUCUAUUUUUUUUUAAUUUAUAUUUAUUUUAAAAUA